CGUGUGUUCUUGUUAUUUGAUGAGUUCCUCUAGUUUAAAAUACAUUUAAUAAUUUUUUUAUCUAGUGUCACAGACAAUGUUUAGAGUUAGAAGGUUUAAUCAGAUCAACAACAGAUGAUAAAACAGAAGUGGAAGAAAUAUUUCCCGUUAUAACUGGACGAAGAAAAUCCCCAACUGAAAUAAAUGAACGAAUAGUGAAUCAACCAAUAGCAGUAUGUGAUAUAUUAAAUAUAAGUAAUACUAGUGAUGAUAGUAGUAUGACUGACAGUAGUAUAGAAGAUAAUAAUAACAGUGUCAUCAGAAAAACUAAAAUACCUAAUAUAGGUGACGCUACACAGUUAUCAAAUGGUGAAAUAUGGAUAGAGUUUAAAGAUGGCUGCCAUAUUAAAAUAAAACCAUCAGAAGAUAUUUUUACAUUUAUAGACAAAAAUGGUGUAUGUCAAGAGUAUAACAAAAGAAGACAUGUUCCGGACUUCGUCAAGUACAAAUUAGCUUCAAUAACAUUUGUAGCAAAUCAUCUAAGAAUUAACCUCUAGUUUAAUCAAAUAUCGACUUGCUUUAUCGACAUCAUUACAUUAUUAUGUCUGUCACACAGAUGACAAAAAUCAGUUUACCAAUGUUUGAUUUUAUAUGUAAAUGUGCGGAUCCACUUGUAAAAUAUUAAUUUAUUUCAAGUUG